rnacentral:rRNA from 1 species
GAAAUGCGUUGAUAUCGGAAGGAACGCCGAAAGCGAAAGCAGCUAACUAUAGAAUACUUGACGAUGAGGGACGACAGUUUGGGGAGCAAACAGGAUUAGAUACCCUGGUAGUCCAAACCGUAAAUUAUGCUUGCUAGAUGUUUUUAUCAGUUUACUGGUAGGAGUGUCGUAAUCUAACGAGUUAAGCAAGCCGCCUGGGUAGUAUAUUCGCAAGAAUGAAACUCAAAGGGAUAGGCGGGGGAACACACAAGCAGUGGAUUAUCUAGAUUAAUUGGAUAAUAAGCCAAGAAUCUUACCUAGGAUUGACAUGUAUUGUGUCUGCGGUGAAAGUCGCAUAUCCGUAGCAAUACGGAGCUUUACACAGGUGGUGCAUGGUCGUCGUCAGCUCGUGCCGCAAGGUGUCUAGUUAAGUCUGGAAACGAGCGCAACCCUCGUGUUUAGUUAGUAUGUCUAAACAGACUGCUCGGGUAACCGAGAGGAAGGAGAGGAUGACGUCAGAUCCUCAUGCCCCUUACACCUAGGGCCUCAUAGAUAAUACAAUGGGUAGGUACAGCGAGAAGCGAUACCGCGAGGUGGAGCAAAUCUUUAAAACUACCCCUAGUUCGGAUUGUAGUCUGGAACUCGACUACAUGAAGUUGGAAUUGCUAGUAAUGGCAGAUCAGCCAUGCUGCCGUGAAUACGUCCCUGUUCCUUGCACUCACCGCCCGUCAAACCAUGGGAGCUGAGGCUCUUUGAAGACUCAUUAUAUGGGUUAAGGAGGGAAUCAGUGACUGGGGUUAAGUCGUAACAAGGCAUCCCUACCGGAAGGUGGGGAUA